CUAUACUUCUUUUUGACUAUACAUUUUAGAUUAUUUCUAGUUCCAUCCUGAAUGUUUCCAAUCAAGCAGUUUCCUUGAUUAGUUUUCAUCUAGCUCAAUUUACGGUUACCCUUCGAGGCAACUGAGAUCCAUUUAAGGGGUUGACUUCUCUCAACAAAUGAUUCUCCAUACGCACCGGUCGGGGAUCGAACCCAGGAUCAAAUGGUUAAGGGAUCCAUGUAUCUAUACUUGUGCCACACUAUACUUGAAAAUAAAUUUUAAUUCAUGAUUUGUAGUACAUGAUUUGAUGAAAGUGAAUCUUAGUUGAGGUAUAUGGACAAUGUCAUUAGUUGCAGUAAUUUUAAAGCAUUGUAAUAAGCUCAUGUUAAAAUAAUUUAAUGUCAUUUGUUGCAUUGUUAUAGUACACUAAUGUUGAUCUGCUUAAGUAUAAUUAAAUGUUACACAAAC
rnacentral:lncRNA from 1 species